UUGUAAAUAGUGUAACUGCACAUAUAUUUUCCAAAUAUAAAGUUAAUUUAUUUAUUUACAAA
rnacentral:tRNA from 1 species